UCUCUUUUUUGAGAUUCUAACAUAAAUUACAUCAUUUCUCUCUUCCCUUUCUUCUUUUCAAACCCUCCCAUAUACCUCUCCUUGAUUUCUUUCAGCUUCACGGCCUCUUUUGUCAUUAAUUCUUGUUAGAUGCAUACAUAUUCCUAAAUAUAGCCUUCUUAGUCUACAGACAAGUAAUUGUAUAAUGAUACAUGUGUGUAAGUUUUUGAGGCUGAUCAUUUGUUAUUUUAUAACUAAUUGGUUUGCUCUUCCCUGAGGAAGACUGUUUCUCCUACUCCCAGAAUUGCUUGUAAUUCUUUACGUAGGGUUGAGGUCUCUGUCUACUUUGACAUGUUUAUUGAUAUCCUUGUUCAGGUCGUGUUUAGACAGUCAUGCUGAUGAAAUUUUAUGAGACUAGCUUCUACAUUACUAGGAGACACAGUCUCAAAGCAAACUUUCUGAUCCUCUGGCUCUUACAACUUUUCUGGCAGUUCUUCUGCAACGUUCCCUUAGCCUUAGGUACGGAAGCAUUUUGUAGGUAUAUCCAUUGGGCUCAUUUGAUUGGUUGUGGUUUUCUGUAAUUGUCAUAUCUGUGGCAAAAGGAAGUUUCCCUGAUGAGGCGUGAGGACUGCACUUAUCUGUGGGUAUAAGACAAAUAUUUAGAAUGUAGUUAGGACUAUUCUGGUUUAGUAAAGCAGUGAUUGUAGGCUCUCCUCCAAGAUCCAUGAUGUCAUUAGCCUUGGGCUGUUGAGUAGGUUACCAGUACGAGGCAUGAUUUUACUCUUGUUGCAUGGGCCUUAGGUCCAACUGGAGCGCUGUUGGCUACUGCCAAGGUGUACUGUGGGGCUGCCUGCAGGUUCCACUUCUGGUAGAGAAAAACUACAAGAGGCAAGAAGAAAAUCCGGUUCAGCACGGCUUAAUUAGCAUGGCUGGUUCAAACUUCUGCCACCGAACAGUUUAUUUUGAAUAUUUAAACACAGCACAACUUUGGGAAAACGUUUUCUCAUGACGGCUAUCACAAUGAAGCUUAGGAAAUGACUACACUGAAACUCCCUUGCAAAACACGUAUCUUUUGCAAAGUAUCUGUGACCUCUUCCACAAUGGGUUCUAUUUUCUGAGAAGCAAUGUUCAGGAUAAGGGUCUAAGGAGGUUAUAAUGCAAUGCUAGUGUUGUGAUUCAUAGUCAUAAUAGCUGGGUAGGAUGGUUGGUUGCUUCCUUCAUUUUGAAGCUAGCAUGCGCUUAGUUAUCUUUUUAAAUAUAUGUGUGUGUGUGUAUAUCUGUAUGUAGGCAUGUGCAUGUGAAUACAAGUGCCCAGAGAGACAAGAAGAGGGCUUUGGAUCCCUGGAGCUGAAGUUACAGCUGGUUGUGAGCCACCCAAUAUGGUCCUCUGCAAGAGCGGUACACAUUCUUAAUUGCUGGACCAUCUCUCCUUACAGUUAUUUUUAAUUUUUUAAAGACAAGGUCUCUUUGUAUACCUUGGCUGGCCUGUAACUUAACAUGUAAACAGAUGGCCUUGAAGUCACAGAGAUUCACUUGCCUCUACCUCUGGAACACUGGAAUUAAAGGCAGGAGACCAGACCUACAGACUGUGCAUGAUAACAAGCUUGGAAGUGCUGAAGAUACAAGAACACAAUCCUGGUGCUUACUGGGAUGACAGACAAGCAGAUGAUUCUAUUACUAGCAAAAUAGCAAUAGACAAAGUUCAAAAGAUUUUCAGAGGAAAUACGGGAGGAUAAGCCAGAACUGGAAGGAAAAGGUUGUCCAUUCAGAGCAAUGGCCAUUGAUGACCUUUGACACCAGUGAGAAUGACAAAGUGAAGAAGAUAAAUGAGCA